rnacentral:rRNA from 1 species
UAGUCUGGUGCCAGCAGCCGCGGUAAUACGGAGGAUGCAAGCGUUAUCCGGAAUCAUUGGGCGUAAAGCGUCCGCAGGUGGUUUCCAAAGUCUGCUGUUAAAGACUGGAGCUCAACUCCGGAACGGCGGUGGAAACUUGGAAACUAGAGUUCGGUAGGGGUAGCAGGAAUUCCCAGUGUAGCGGUGAAAUGCGUAGAUAUUGGGAAGAACAUCGGUGGCGAAGGCGUGCUACUGGACCGUAACUGACACUCAGGGACGAAAGCUAGGGGAGCGAAAGGGAUUAGAUACCCCUGUAGUCCUAGCUGUAAACAAUGGAAACUAGGUGUGGCUUGUAUCGACCCGAGCCGUGCCGUAGCUAACGCGUUAAGUUUCCCGCCUGGGGAGUACGCACGCAAGUGUGAAACUCAAAGGAAUUGACGGGGGCCCGCACAAGCGGUGGAGUAUGUGGUUUAAUUCGAUGCAACGCGAAGAACCUUACCAGGGCUUGACAUGUCGCGAAUCUCGGUGAAAGCUGAGAGUGCCUUCGGGAGCGCGAACACAGGUGGUGCAUGGCCGUUCUU